CCUAUUAAAAAUCUCAACUAACUGUUCGCAAAUGAUAGACUGCUAAAAGGUACCAGUCUUUUCAAAACUUCUCUCUAUCCCUAUCUCACAAAAGCCUUAUUUACCAACUAAACUAAAUCUGACCAUAACCCAUAUUGAAUGCUUCCUAUUUGAAGGAAAAGAGAACAUGCUUUCACUAGUGAGUCUUCCCUGCCUGGGGUGUGAAUGGGUUCCAGAAAAAAAAUCUCUAUCAUAUGUCCAUUUUUUAGCAGGUUGCAGUGAAGCAACUCAUCAAUGUCCUAAUUGUUCAUCAUAGCUCCAGCCCAUCUCCUUCUUCCUCUCCCUCUUCCCCUUCCCCCUCCUUGUCUCCACUGAAACCUGACUCCCUCAGACUCCCAAAACUCCUGAAUCUACUACAAAGAGACAACCAGGCUACUGGGCAGGUCUGUUUCGUCAGGCUCAUGAAUUAACUUCUUGAAAACUUAAUGCAGCUUUGGAGGAGAAGAUCCGCCUUAUACAGGUUAAUUCUCAUCUUGCACAUGAGUUGGAUAUUGAUGAAGUUCGUGGUGCCAGAGAAGUUUGGAUGCUUAGCCUUUAUGAUAAUUUUUUUUUUGUAGAACACCUUAUGCAGUGUUUGAUUAGGCCCAGUUUUUGCCAAUACUAAGAAAAAUUCUUCAAAAGCCCAGAUUAACAAUAGCAAAAUUGAUAAAAAUAACAAAAAUAAAGUAAAACAAACUGAUUAACACAAUGAAAGUUCCCAUCUUUCCAAACAAAAUUUGAUAUGAUUGGUUUUUAGACUUCACUCGAAAUUUUUUAUCUGCUUUAAGCACAGGCUAUUUGUGAAAAUUAGUACUGUUGUGCCACAAAAAACAAC
rnacentral:lncRNA from 1 species